rnacentral:lncRNA from 1 species
UUUCCAACAAUCUCCCACUUGCACUAGAGCCAAUCAGCUUGGUCAUCAGUGAUGAUACCUCUUCUUUAGUCAUUUCAAAAAUGGCUAAGUAGUAGGUCUAGACAAUGGAUAUCUAUAUGUUAUCCAUAGAAGCAACCUUGAGAAUAACGACGUCACCAUUAUACAUGAUUCUCAAUCAUGUGGUUCAGUCUCUCAUUUGAGUUCAGAUCUUGAUGAGACCUUGAUUCCCUGGCUUGAGCUAUCGCCCCAUUAGUGUCGUAGUGUCGGUACACUUGAGACACUUUCUGGUUGGAACCGAAUAGAGAGUUCAUAAAUAAACUUUCCCAUCCAAACAACAUUGUUGUAAGCUUCUAUACGGCGAUAUAUUUUGCAUUCAUAAUGGAACACACUAAAGUCAUUACUUUUAAUGUUUCCAUCCAAAUAUCUCUUUAGUCAUAAUAAAGAGAUAUAUGAUUACCUCUUCAUUCAUAAUGAAGAAACAUCCAAUGAUGAAUUAGAUUCAUAAUUUAAUACAUUUACGCUUCCAUUACGUUACUCUAAUUCUUCCUCAUUCUUUGAGGAAUCUAUCCUUUAGUAUUUCUCAAAUACUUAAGGACUCACUUGACAGUUGCCAUGGUUCUGAUCCUGGGCUUGCACUGAUAUCGUCUUGUACCGUUCUAGGUACAACUCAUAUCAAUGUUUUCAUACAAUAUGAAAUACGUAAAUCACUUUUCUGCGUAUGCAUAAAGGAUUCUAUUUACGCAUUAUUUCUUUGGGAGUCAAAGGGUACGUUCCCUUUGAGAAGAGCUACCUCCUAGUUUUACUAGAGUUGUUCUUCUGAUUGAAGUUUAUCAUCAUAUGAGAAACUUCCUAGCAUCUUUUGUCUAUUAUUAGGGAUUGAUAUAAUCCAAUUAUAUCUUGAAAUCUAUCAUUGUAGAUUUCCAUCCCAUGUAUGUAGACUAUGUCUCCCAUAUACAUUCUAUCGUUAUAGAAUGUUUAAAGUCAUAACUUUAACGAAGAAGUAUUCCUUUUCAUUUCCAAAAUUAAUAUAUCAUAUAUUUGUAUAUCUAUAUAUAUAUAUAUUCAAAUUUAGGAACAUGAUUAACUCCCACUAAUCUUUUGUAAACCUAGUAAACAAAAGAUUCAUUUACAUCUUUAUGAGAAAUCAAACGAUUUGAUCUUUCUCUCAUAAGACGUUUAUAGCUCCCACUAGUUCGCUAAGAUCCAUGAUGGAUGGAUCUCUAUAACUUACAUGUCAUAGUUUUAGACAUAUAUUAUCAAGACUAUCUUAAUAAUGGUUUCGGAAACCCAUAUUAUGUCCAAACAUUGAAUCACCAUUUAGUUGUAGCUAGCAAUAUUCGAAUUAAUUGAAAACAAGACUACGUCAAAGAUGGUUUCUUCAAAGUCAACCAUUCUCUUUGAUUGUAGUCACCUUAAGCUACCAAUUAGCUUUAAAAGUUUCAUUAUUUCGGGUCAAAUGGUACUUUACCAUUUCCUUGAGUAUAUGUCGUAUAUACACUCAAUGUAGUCAUAAGGAUUUUCAUUCUUAUUUCUUUCGAAUUAAGAGGUGUAACUCUAUGACAUAGUCAUAAAGUUCAAACCAUUCAACUGAGAUAUUUAUAAAUCCUUAUCGACUACCUUGGAGCUUGUGGCGUAGGAGCUAGGUUGUUAUAUUUCUUGAUUAUCAUUUUGUCUCUCAAAGAACCCAUUCUUUGAGUUCUAUCUCUCGUUCAUUUGCGUUAGGCAAAUCAUAUUGUAGGAUUACAAUGAACUACCCAACAAACAACAUUUGUUAGUUGGUUUAUAGAAGUGAUAUCCAAAUGUUAAUUUAAGGAUACCCACAAGAUAAUUCUUUAAACAAAUAUUGCUUAUUAGCACACAACCCCAAAUCUUAACAUGAUUAAGAUUUGUCUUUCUUUCCAACUAUAUCCUAUGGAGUCAUAAAAAUUUUGGAAGAUCUUCUAUUUGACAAUCAUAUUGUCUUAGAAGUAUAUAUCCUAUAUAUGGGCAAUUGAUAACAUCCAACGAACUAAAUCUUAUUUCAAGUUCGUUCUUCUCUUAAUGGAGAAAUUCAUUAUCAUAUGAUGCUUCUUUCCUUGAUAUCUUUCAAGGAAACUAUUCUAAAGUGUUACCUUUCCUUGGAUCAAAUCUAAGGAGGUAAAUACUUUAGACAUCUUACUCAUCAACUUACAUUUCUUGAAUUCUUUGAAACCUUUUGCAAAGUAUUCGGACUUGUGUUUAUUCAAAAUAAAUGAUAGUCCAACCGAGAGCGAUCUUCGGUGAAUGUCAAACAACAUGAGUAGUAUUAUGUUGUGGACAAGUGCCACUAACAUCUAAGUGAAUUAACCUCAACAACUUUGUGAUUCUUUCCUCCUUUCCAAAAGAAUAAAGAUUCGAACAUUUCGCCUCUAUACAAUUUUAAUAAGAAGGUAUUGGAUCCGGAUCUAACGAUCAAAAGCAUCCAUCUAUGACCAACUCGUAAUUUAUGUUUUAGAGGUAUCACAACUCAGUUGGGAUUAGUCACUACCUUGCAACCUUUUGGGUUUUAAGCAUCGUUAUUUUCUAAACAGUUAACACUACCAUAUCAUCUCUACUAUAGAGACAAUCAAUUAGAUUACAAUAAUCUAAUCAUUCAUUAAUAAAGAACAAUGUUUUGUCAAACAAAACAUUCAUCCAUCCCUUAUAAUGAUGGAAUUAAGUUCCUUAAAAUUUGGAAUGUAAAGACAAUCUAUGGUUUUUCCAAUUUCUUUGGUAGUUCAUAUGAGGAAGUAAGUACCAUCUGCUUUCGCAGAGAUCUACAUUUGAUUCACGUUCCGAAUGUGAAGUACUUUCUCUUCUCUCAUUAAUCUUCUACUUUUUAUUAGCCACACUUUUACAACGAUUGGAAAACAUAGUUACUAAUACGGAAUCAAGCAUUCAAGUAGAAGAACCAACUGUUUUGAACUUUUCAAGAACAAUUUACAACACCUUCGAAAGGUGUGUUCUUGACACUUGCAAGACAUUUCUUGCAAAUACCCAUUCCAAUGUCCAUCCUUUCAUAAAGAAAGUUUGUUCCCUUGGAGUUUAUUUCACUUUCUUCAUUUGACUUCUCCUUUGACUACAAUAGUCAUGGUCCCUAAACUCCCACUAUCUCUCUUGAA